rnacentral:rRNA from 1 species
AGAGUUUGAUCCUGGCUCAGAACGAACGCUGGCGGCGUGGAUAAGACAUGCAAGUCGAGCGCUGAUUUCAAGGUAGCAAUAUUUUGAAGUCGGAGCGGCGCAAGGGUGCGUAACACGUGGGUAAUCUGCCAUGAAGUUUGGGAUAACUCGCUGAAAGGCGAGCUAAUACCGGAUGUGAAAAUUGGAAGGCAUCUUUUGAUUUUCAAAGCUGGGGACCGUAAGGCCUGGCGCUUCUUGAUGAGCCCGCGGCCUAUCAGCUAGUUGGUGAGGUAACGGCUCACCAAGGCUAAGACGGGUAGCUGGUCUGAGAGGACGACCAGCCACACUGGAACUGAGACACGGUCCAGACACCUACGGGUGGCAGCAGUCGAGAAUUUUUCACAAUGGGCGCAAGCCUGAUGGAGCGACGCCGCGUGGGGGAUGAAUGGCUUCGGCCCGUAAACCCCUGUCAUUUGCGAUCAAACCUUAUUAUUUAAAAGAUGAUAAGCUGAUAGUAGCGAAAGAGGAAGGGACGGCUAACUCUGUGCCAGCAGCCGCGGUAAUACAGAGGUCCCGAGCGUUGUUCGGAUUCACUGGGCGUAAAGGGUGCGUAGGUGGUGAGGUAAGUCGGAUGUGAAAUCUCGGAGCUUAACUCCGAAACUGCAUUGGAAACUACCUUGCUCGAGGGUUGGAGGGGGGACUGGAAUUCUCGGUGUAGCAGUGAAAUGCGUAGAUAUCGAGAGGAACACCAGUGGCGAAGGCGAGUCCCUGGACAACUCCUGACACUGAGGCACGAAAGCUAGGGGAGCAAACAGGAUUAGAUACCCCGGUAGUCC